rnacentral:rRNA from 1 species
GGGUCCGGACACACUGAGGAUUGACAGGCAAUUAUUGUGCUUUGUAACUUUUUUUAAGUUGCUUACACAACAACAAAUUAUGCUAGUCCUUUCAUGAUUAUGUGAUAGGUGGUGCAUGGCCGUUCUUAGUUCGUGGNGUGAUCUGUCUGCUUAAUUGCGUUUCAUCAGGGACCAUGUUUAUUUAUGUACUUUCUUACUCGCUUUUUAAGCACUUUUGUGUUUUUUAAGCUUGUACUUUAGUGCAAUUGGUCCUGAAAGCAACGAACGUGACCGCAUCCUCUUGUUGCCUUUUUAACUUGAGUUGUUUACACUUCUCAUAACAUAAGAGGCUUUCCUAAAACUAGAGGGACCGCUGCGACUUUUUUAAACCAGAGGAAGGUUGCGGCAAUAACAGGUCUGUGAUGCCCUUAGAUGUUCCGGGCUGCACACGUGCUACAAUGAUUAUUGCAGUGAGCAUCUCAUUUUAUUUUUUGUGCUUGUCUUGUCUGACUCUUUUACGAGGGAAAGACGACAGCCUUAGCCUGCUUCGAAAGUUCGCAGGU